GAUGAACGCUGGCGGCGUGCCUAAUACAUGCAAGUCGAGCGAACGGACGAGAAGCUUGCUUCUCUGAUGUUAGCGGCGGACGGGUGAGUAACACGUGGAUAACCUACCUAUAAGACUGGGAUAACUUCGGGAAACCGGAGCUAAUACCGGAUAAUAUUUUGAACCGCAUGGUUCAAAAGUGAAAGACGGUCUUGCUGUCACUUAUAGAUGGAUCCGCGCUGCAUUAGCUAGUUGGUAAGGUAACGGCUUACCAAGGCAACGAUGCAUAGCCGACCUGAGAGGGUGAUCGGCCACACUGGAACGGGGACACGGUCCAGACUCCUACGGGAGGCAGCAGUAGGGAAUCUUCCGCAAAGGGCGAAAGCCUGACGGAGCAACGCCGCGUGAGUGAUGAAGGUCUUCGGAUCGUAAAACUCUUUUAUUAGGGAAGAACAUAUGUGUAAGUAACUGUGCGCAUCUUGACGGUACCUAAUCAGAAAGCCACGGCUAACUACGUG
rnacentral:rRNA from 1 species